AGUGCCGAGUUAAAGGAAGUAUACUGGUCUUCUUUUACUUCUAAAUCCGCCUUCUAACUAGGUUUCAUAAUAGUUUUUCGUAUGGUCUAAAGUAGAUAGUGUAGCCCAUCUCUUUCCACUUCAUAUGCUGCACCUUGACCUGACGUGUUGACGCAAGGGCAUUAAGCUCACUAGUUAGCGCUCACGGGGUAAGCUGACGACGGAGGUAUACAGGCUGAUAGACUAAAAGUGGUGAGGUAAAACGGGGGUUAUCGAUUAUAGGACAGGCUCCUCUAGGUGGAUUUGGGGUACCGUCAAGUCCCUUGGGUUUUAAGCU
rnacentral:rRNA from 1 species